AAUAUUGGACAAUGGGGGCAACCCUGAUCCAGCCAUGCCGCGUGUGUGAAGAAGGUCUUCGUAUUGUAAAGCACUUUAAGUUGGGUGGAAGGGCUUUAGGUUAAUACCCUGAAGUUUUGACGUUACCAACAGAAUAAGCACCGGCUAUCUUUGUGCCAGCUGCCGCGGUAAUAACGAGGGUGCAAGCGUUAAUCGGAAUUACUGGGCGUAAAGCGCGCGUAGGUGGUUCAGUAAGAUGGGUGUGAAGUCCCCGGGCUUAACCUGGGAACUGCUUUCAUAACUGCUGAGCUAGAGUACGGUAGAGGGUAGUGGAAUUUCCUGUGUAGCGGUGAAAUGCGUAGAUAUAGGAAGGAACACCAGUGGCGAAGGCGACUACCUGGACUGAUACUGACACUGAGGUGCGAAAGCGUGGGGAGCAAACA
rnacentral:rRNA from 1 species